rnacentral:lncRNA from 1 species
CUGGUUAACAACUUGUUGGAAGCUGGUGAGAGAGAACACCCACACACAUAAGUUAUAUAAAAAGUGAUUAUUAUUUACAGAUAGCAAGAAACAAAAGAAGCCUAGGUUUCAUUGCAGGAACAUUGGGCCCAGAAGAGAUAUAAUGUGCGUAAAGUUUGGAGGUCGGGGUGAAUAAGUCAUCAUGUUUCACUUGUGCUAGGAAGGUAGG